rnacentral:rRNA from 1 species
AACGAACGCUGGCGGCAGGCUUAACACAUGCAAGUCGAACGGCAGCACAGCAGAGCUUGCUCUGUGGGUGGCGAGUGGCGGACGGGUAAGGAAUACAUGGGAAUCUGCCCAGUCGUGGGGGAUAACGUAGGGAAACUUACGCUAAUACCGCAUGCGCCCUUCGGGGGAAAGCCGGGGACCUUCGGGCCUGGCGCGAUUGGAUGAGCCCAUGUCGGAUUAGCUAGUUGGCGGGGUAAAGGCCCACCAAGGCGACGAUCCGUAGCUGGUCUGAGAGGAUGAUCAGCCACACUGGAACUGAGACACGGUCCAGACUCCUACGGGAGGCAGCAGUAGGGAAUAUUGGACAAUGGGCGCAAGCCUGAUCCAGCCAUGCCGCGUGAGUGAAGAAGGCCUUCGGGUUGUAAAGCUCUUUUGUCCGGAAAGAAAAACCUUGGGUUAAUACCCUGAGGUUCUGACGGUACCGGAAGAAUAAGCACCGGCUAACUUCGUGCCAGCAGCCGCCGCCGUAA